GACGUAGGGUGCGAGCGUUGUCCGGAUUUAUUGGGCGUAAAGAGCUCGUAGGCGGCUCGUCGCGUCGACCCGUGAAAACCCGCGGCUUAACUGCGGGCUUGCGGUUGAUACGGGCGGGCUAGAGUUCGGUAGGGGAGACUGGAAUUCCUGGUGUAGCGGUGAAAAUGCGCAGAUAUCAGGAGGAACACCGGUGGCGAAGGCGGCAUCCUGGACCGGGUAUUGACGCUGAGGCGCGAAAGCCAGGGGAGGCAAACGGG
rnacentral:rRNA from 1 species